GUUUAAUCAAUGUCACAGCUCACCACAGUGUGCAACUAAAGCCACCGUCAUUCCUCUCUCCAGAUCUGCCUGGCUAAGUUAUGCAAUGCUCCGAAGAAUACCUUGGAAUUCUUUCCGGAGGCUCUGAAUGCAGGUGUGUGCCGGCGUUCACACCACUGCCAGGAAAGCAGACUUCUUUUCAUCCUUUUUCAGGCUGGACUAAAAUUACAGAGUGUGACUGCCCGUCGGUUGCUGCAUUUGGAAUUACAGCAUGUCAACGUGAGAAAGUCUCUUCAGACGGCUGACACAAAGAGUAAAUCAAAGGCUGGCUUUUUCUGAAGUCUUAAUAAAUAACUAAGCGUAACCAAACAAAACCAGGAGUGUUUUGUAUUUUUUUUUCUUUGAAAUACAAAACCGAGCAGCAUGCAUUUUGCUGCUCUGCAUCAUCUAAGAGAAAAAUCCUCGAUUUUAAUGAAAAUUCGUCAACAGUGAGGGUAACUACCAGCAAGGGUUUUACUGUUUUUUGACUACGCUUGCUUUAGUGGAUUACUGCGAGAGAAGGCCGGUCAUUCGGAAGAUUCUGUAACAUUAUUAUCCUCACAGAUAAACUUCAUCAAGGAACUGUUCAUGCUCCUAUCUGGUCUGUCUGAGUGAGGAGAGCAGCCCCUUCAUGAAGAUAAAAGCCUGGUUUGCCACUGAAGCGACUAGUAAGAAGCAUGUCUGAUGACAUUUUAUUCCUGCUGCAAUGUAGGCUAGCUGCCAGAAUACUAGUGAAGGUAUUUGCAGGAAAAAUGGGGACCUCUGCCAUCACAACACUGGAAGAUGUAAAAAGGCAAGAGGAGAAAGAGGAGAAAGAAGAAUCUGUUUUAGCACUGCUUGGAAUUAUUGGAACUGUGCUCAAUUUAUUUGUUAUUGUUUUUGUGUAUAUCUACACUACACUUUGAUGACAUUUUUGAACAUCAAUUGCACAGCACACAAUGCAAAGACCAGCGUUGGUUAAGAAUGGUUUCUAAAUUUAAAGCAAAAAAACCCCACUGUCUGAAAAGAUUGUCAGAAACAUUCCAGAGCAAAGCGUCUGGCUAAGGGCGCUGCAUCAAUGACUGCUAAAUGUAUCUGUGAGCCCAGCUAGGGUGCUGAAUUACAUAAAUGAAGGCAGACAAUAUGCAACUUCUCAUUGGUAACAGAUGAAAUCCUAAUAGCAGAAACAGAGAUUGCACUGUUUUAUUGCCAGCAAACAUGCAAGACACAAGCAAUGUAAGCAAAUACUGAAAACAAUCAGAACAUCGAAAGAGAUUAAUUAAAUCCAUAAAUGCAUCUAAGCAGGCCCUGUGAUGCUGUCUAUGGUUUUGUGCAAUAUGUCUCUUCAUAGCUGAGAUCAGAAAACAGACAAAAGGGUUUUAUUUUGAGAUCACCGUAAUUUAGGCUUAUAACUUACACUAGUGUAUAAUAAGUGUGCAAACAGGAACACUGUUAUACCAAAAACUGUAAUAUUAUAAAUAAAAUUUUAACUAUUGACUA